rnacentral:lncRNA from 1 species
AACUGUAAAAUUAGAAGAUUGCUUUCAGGAAGGCUCAGUUAGUGCAACCCCAGGUUUAUUACCUGGCAAUGGUACUUGGGGAAACGGAAAGACAGUAGAUAGAAGAAAGGUUAAAGCCUUGUGGAGUUAAGGCUCCUUCUCAUCAGUUCCAACUUAGAGCAGUUUGAGGAGGAUUUCAUUUCUUCCAGGAGCGUUAACAUAGCUUUGCCGGUAUCAGCAGACCGGGGUGGAACUUACUGGAAAGGAGUCAGGAACGGAACAAGGAACGUGACGCUGCUUUCACUGGACUGGAAGAAGUGGCUGUAAAAUCUGCUGCCCUCAAAUUCCCAGGACAAGGCAAGCCUUUUUCAGUAAUGCUUUCCACAUCUGCUGAGUCCAUGGGAGCAGCACCGUUAGAAAACAGCGGGUGAUGGAUUUUACUAUGCCUCUAUCAACACGCGCUGGCUGGCAAAGUUACGUCAUGUCCCAGCGGAGACUCUUAGGCAAGACAGAGGAGUUCAGGCGUUCAGAACAUCGGGGAACGACUAUGUGCUGCCAUGAAGAACUACAAGCUCCCGCCCUCAGCCCUUUGUAAGUUAUCAGGCGUCAAGAACGGCCAGGAGACUCCAAAUGCCAGCGGAAAGGUUCUCUGCCUGGUCCUGACGAGGAGCCUUCGGCCGUAGGAGGGUCGGCCGCGUCCUUACCAGACUUGUGAGUAAUAAGCCGCAAUUCACAGACCAGCAAAAGGGGGGGGGGGGGGGAACAGCGACUGGUAGCCCAGUGGCUACAGCAUUGCUGUUGCUAGCA